GAACGCACAUUGCGCCCUUCGGUAUUCCGUUGGGCAUGCCUGUUCGAGCGUCAUUUAAACCUUCAAGCUAUGCUUGGUGUUGGGUGUUUGUUCCGCCUCAGCGCGUGGACUCGCCUCAAAUUCAUUGGCAGCCGGUAUGUUGGCUUCGUGCGCAGCACAUUGCAAGCGAUUUCAGCAGACCCCCUUCCACAAGCCUUUUUUUACUUUGACCUCGGAUCAGGUAGGGAUACCCGCUGAACUUAAG
rnacentral:misc_RNA from 1 species